GUGAAUCAUCAAAUUUUUGAACGCAAAUUGCACUCUCUUCGGAGAGUAUGCCUGUUUGAGGGUCAGUAUUAAUAAAAAUCGGUGUGUUGCUUCUUUGUUGCACUCCGGAGUUUGGUUCACCUUAAUAUCCUUUAGGUUUUAGGAGGCUUAAAAUUACUUUUUUUUGCGCAUUUUAUAUGUAAUUAAAUCUUUUUUUUUAUUCUUUUGUCUUAAUCCCCAAAUUCCAAUACAUUUC
rnacentral:misc_RNA from 1 species